rnacentral:lncRNA from 1 species
UUUCUCAACAAUCUUGAUAUCUCAAAGAAGCAAUAUUUAAGUAAAGCCUUGAAAUGAUUUGCUAGAUUUACAUGUUUACUGUUAUGUUACAAAGGCCUCUUAUAUAUCUCAAUUCUCAAGUAGUCACGUACCUGGGUAUGAAUUAUAAGGACGACUAAUGCAAAUCUAAGUUGAUCAACAUAAGCAACGAAAGAUCUUCACCAAUUCAAAGCAACAUGAGAUUUUGCAAUAUUAAGGGAGUACGGUGUAAUCUUUCUCGAGAGAAUCGACUCAGGUAUAUUAAGGCUAAUCCUUCUUUCUUUUGGCAUGACCCAAGUAACGAUACGUAAACGUAAUAUUAUUCCAUAAGUAAUUCUACUCUUAGCAGUUAAGGAUGCCUAUGUUAUUCAUUCCGGUAAAGUGAUAUUCAAGCAUGUCUACGUAUGUCCCUAGUCCCAAUUGAGAUAUAUGACAGAGAACUUGUGUUACAAAUAUAUGUGUUAGGAUUUGUUUAUAAAUAUAGUUUUUAUAGUUUAACUAAAUAUGCAGUAAUUAUAUGCAUAUAAUGAACAAAUAUAACAUGAUUAUUUGUAAUAUUAGACUUACACUAUUGUGUUAUUACAUGAUAUUUAAUAGCAGAUUAGUCAUAGUGUGAUCAAUAAUUGAUUAUAGAAACAUAUUGAUAUUAUAGUUUGCGGUUGUUUGUGACAAGUUACACUUGAAAAUUGAUUAUGAACUAUAACAUAAUGAAUUAUAAUAUAGUAUAUAUUGUUACAACGUAAAAUAAUAUAAAAUAUCAAUUUGAUUAUAAUAUAUCGUUAGAUUGUUGUAGAUUGAUUUUGAAGUAAUGAUUCAUGCAUAAUAAAGGGUUAUAAUGCAUUUUUUAUUUAGUUGUAUAGGUAGUUUGACGUUGUGAUAUGUAUGAUUGUAUAAAUACUAUGAUGAAAUUCAUUCAACUUAAUGUAAGACAAUUACCACAUAUUGUCAUGACUGAUAAUUGCACUGUUAACAAUGGCUAUCUUGAAAACGUCUGGGGUACUAACAUAAAAGAUAUACGAUUGUGUAUAUAGUUUAAUAUAGUAUAGUUAUAAUGUGUUAAGGCUGUAUGAUAUUGAUGGAAUUAGGUGUUUUGUGGUGUAGUUUUAGAUAAUUGAUUUUGAUUAAUUGUGAUAGUAGAUAAUGACGUGUAAUAAGUAAUAGAACUAAUGUUAUGUAAUAAAUAUUAUUAAAAUGUUGAAUGAAGUUGUGUAUGGUAUAUGAUAGAGAAGUUAAUGUUUAUAAUAUAGUGAUACAUGUACAUGCAGCUUCAUGCGUUUACCAUCGGGCUACGGCCGGUCGGGCAGUUACCACCGGUUGAGCAGUUAUACAUCAUUAU